AACGCAUCUUGCGCUCCUUGGUAUUCCGAGGAGCAUGCCUGUUUGAGUGUCGUGUAACCUCUCAAUCUCCCCCUUUUCUUGCUUCACUGCUCGAAUCGGUUUGGGCCAGAUUGGAUCGUGGCCGCUGCCGUCCCCUUUUGCGGGACAGCUCGGUCGAAAUGCAGACAAGUGACGACCGCUCGUGUUGAUCGGCUUGAACUCGACGUUGUAAUUUCUCCCUCGUUGAGCUACGAUCUUCGCGGAUCUUUCAAGGUCACACUUCGAAACGACCUCUUUAUAUUUGAGCAAUAUUGACCUCAAAUCAGGCAGGACUACCCGCUGAACUUAA
rnacentral:misc_RNA from 1 species